rnacentral:rRNA from 1 species
GCUUAACACAUGCAAGUCGAGGGGCAGCAUGGUCUUAGCUUGCUAAGGCCGAUGGCGACCGGCGCACGGGUGAGUAACACGUAUCCAACCUGCCGUCUACUCUUGGACAGCCUUCUGAAAGGAAGAUUAAUACAAGAUGGCAUCAUGAGUCCGCAUGUUCACAUGAUUAAAGGUAUUCCGGUAGACGAUGGGGAUGCGUUCCAUUAGAUAGUAGGCGGGGUAACGGCCCACCUAGUCUUCGAUGGAUAGGGGUUCUGAGAGGAAGGUCCCCCACAUUGGAACUGAGACACGGUCCAAACUCCUACGGGAGGCAGCAGUGAGGAAUAUUGGUCAAUGGGCGAGAGCCUGAACCAGCCAAGUAGCGUGAAGGAUGACUGCCCUAUGGGUUGUAAACUUCUUUUAUAAAGGAAUAAAGUCGGGUAUGGAUACCCGUUUGCAUGUACUUUAUGAAUAAGGAUCGGCUAACUCCGUGCCAGCAGCCGCGGUAAUACGGAGGAUCCGAGCGUUAUCCGGAUUUAUUGGGUUUAAAGGGAGCGUAGAUGGAUGUUUAAGUCAGUUGUGAAAGUUUGCGGCUCAACCGUAAAAUUGCAGUUGAUACUGGAUAUCUUGAGUGCAGUUGAGGCAGGCGGAAUUCGUGGUGUAGCGGUGAAAUGCUUAGAUAUCACGAAGAACUCCGAUUGCGAAGGCAGCCUGCUAAGCUGCAACUGACAUUGAGGCUCGAAAGUGUGGGUAUCAAACAGGAUUAGAUACCCUGGUAGUCCACACGGUAAACGAUGAAUACUCGCUGUUUGCGAUAUACUGCAAGCGGCCAAGCGAAAGCGUUAAGUAUUCCACCUGGGGAGUACGCCGGCAACGGUGAAACUCAAAGGAAUUGACGGGGGCCCGCACAAGCGGAGGAACAUGUGGUUUAAUUCGAUGAUACGCGAGGAACCUUACCCGGGCUUAAAUUGCAGAUGAAUUACGGUGAAAGCCGUAAGCCGCAAGGCAUCUGUGAAGGUGCUGCAUGGUUGUCGUCAGCUCGUGCCGUGAGGUGUCGGCUUAAGUGCCAUAACGAGCGCAACCCUUGUUGUCAGUUACUAACAGGUUCCGCUGAGGACUCUGACAAGACUGCCAUCGUAAGAUGUGAGGAAGGUGGGGAUGACGUCAAAUCAGCACGGCCCUUACGUCCGGGGCUACACACGUGUUACAAUGGGGGGUACAGAGGGCCGCUACCACGCGAGUGGAUGCCAAUCCCCAAAACCCCUCUCAGUUCGGACUGGAGUCUGCAACCCGACUCCACGAAGUUGGAUUCGCUAGUAAUCGCGCAUCAGCCACGGCGCGGUGAAUACGUUCCCGGGCCUUGUACACACCGCCCGUCAAGCCAUGGGAGCCGGGGGUACCUGAAGUGCGUAACCGCAAGGAGCGCCCUAGGGUAAAACUGGUGACUGGGGCUAAG